AAGCAGCAGCAGCAUCUGAGAGCAGAAAUGAGAGGCCCUGGCAGGACUACAAAGGGCUCCAGAGGAGCAGGUACGCCGGGGAUGAGGUCAAGUUCUGCCCUGAUUUACACCCCACAACCUGGCAGCAGCUAAAGUUUUGCAGACAACCCAACGAGAUAAUCAUCACAUGCUGGCAAUCACUUGCCAUCAAUUAUCCCCACGCUGCUGCUGUCAGUGGAUCACAGCCCCUACC